rnacentral:lncRNA from 1 species
UCAGCAAACCUUACAUUUCAAAUUCAUUUCAAACUUUUCAGCAUAUCCAUUUCAAACCUUUCAGCAAGUUCAAUUCAAACGCUAUAAUCAUAAGUAAAACGUAGCAGUAUUCAUCUUGCAAGAAGUUCCUACAAAAGAAAAUCCAACGAGAAUUUUUAGGGUCGUAGCAACGUAAAAAUUUUGCGGUUCUAAAGGAGUACGGUGCAAUCUCGUCCAAGAAUAUCAUACGAAUUUUUUCCCUACUCCAGGUAUGUUAAGGCUAUCCCUUCUUUCUUUUGGCAUGAUCGAUACGAUACGAACGAAGCGUGCAAAUGCGCAAAUUCCAUAAAUGACCCUAUUCAUAGAAAUAUUAGAGAUAUCUAUGUUCCUGAAUUUCCAUGUUUCAUAAUAUUUUAUCAUUUGUUCAUGGGUCUCAGAAAAAUAUGAAAGUUGAGAAAAAAAAAGUUUACUUUAUGAGAUUGCUCAAGACAAAAUGGUCUUAUGAAAUUAUGAAAGAUUUUAUUAACGUACUUUUNNNNNNNNNNNNNNNNNNNGUCUUCCAUGUCUCUUAUGUAUUUAUUUAUAUACCUUACAUACUCAGUACAUUAUUCAUACUGACGUCCCUUUUGCCUGGGGACGCUGCGUUUCAUGUCUGCAGGUCCCGAUAAACAGGUCGAGAGCCCUCCAUGUAGGCUAUAAUCUCAGCGAAAGAUGUUGGUGCGCUCCAUUUGCUUCGGAGUUGCUUAUUUGAUUAGUAUGAGUUAGAUGUAUAUUGUUUGGUAUGGCGGGACUCUGUCUCAACCUUUAUGAUAUUUAUGUAUUCUUAGAGGCUUGUAGACAUAUGUCGUAUACAUAAAAGAUUGUACAGCCUUGUUGGCCCAUGUUUCGAGUUUAUAAAGAAUUAUGUUGGCCUAUUAGGCCCGUAUGUCGUGUGUAUAUGAUGAUGUAAUAAGAAAGAUAUGUUACAUUGGUACUCGG